GACGAACGCUGGCGGCGUGCUUAACACAUGCAAGUCGAACGGUGAAGCACCUUCCUUUUGGUGGGUGUGGAUGAGUGGCGAACGGGUGAGUAACACGUGAGUAACCUGCCCCCUUCUUCUGGAUAACCGCAUGAAAGUGUGGCUAAUACGGGAUAUUCUGUGCCUGCUGCAUGGUGGGUGUGGGAAAGAUGCGCUUUUGGGUGUUUUUGGUGGGGGAUGGGCUCGCGGCCUAUCAGCUUGUUGGUGGGGUGAUGGCCUACCAAGGCGGUGACGGGUAGCCGGCCGGAGAGGGUGGACGGUCACACUGGGACUGGGACACGGCCCAGACUCCUACGGGAGGCAGCAGUGGGGAAUAUUGCACAAUGGGCGCAAGCCUGAUGCAGCGACGCCGCGUGAGGGAUGGAGGCCUUCGGGUUGUAAACCUCUUUCGCCAGUGAAGCAGGCCUGUCCCUUGUGGGUGGGUUGACGGUAGCUGGAUAAGAAGCGCCGGCUAACUACGUG
rnacentral:rRNA from 1 species